GUCAGUCGAGCGCCCCGCAAGGGGAGCGGCAGACGGGUGAGUAACGCGUGGGAACGUACCCUUCUCUACGGAAUAACACAGAGAAAUUUGUGCUAAUACCGUAUACGCCCUUUGGGGGAAAGAUUUAUCGGAGAAGGAUCGGCCCGCGUAGGAUUAGCUAGUUGGUGAGGUAAUGGCUCACCAAGGCGACGAUCCUUAGCUGGUCUGAGAGGAUGACCAGCCACACUGGGACUGAGACACGGCCCAGACUCCUACGGGAGGCAGCAGUGGGGAAUAUUGGACAAUGGGCGCAAGCCUGAUCCAGCCAUGCCGCGUGAGUGAUGAAGGCCUUAGGGUUGUAAAGCUCUUUCACCCACGACGAUUAUGACGGUAGUGGGAGAAGAAGCCCCGGCUAACUUCGUGC
rnacentral:rRNA from 1 species